rnacentral:lncRNA from 1 species
AUCUUGGUAUAGCACCAAAAAAUUGUGCACACCCACACUACACGGGCAUGUGCUAGUCAAUGACAAAUCAGAAAUAACUAACUGCCCACCUGGGCUGUCCUAAGCUAAGCUAGAGCCAACCAUUGGCACUUGUGAGACACAGGAAGUGAGGUAAGGAACAGCCUCUGGAUUUCGCUGACUUCCUGUGGAGAGAGCUAGAGGGGAGUUGGUGUUAGGAGCUUGGAGGGAGAGGACGCCCGCAGACAGCUUUCCUUCAGAUCACUCACGUGAGUUAAGGACUGAUUCUUUCCACCUUGGCCCUUUGGGCCUAGAACUCACUCUGCCUUGGUCAGAGGUUGAAUAGCCCCUUUCCUUUUUCUCUUCUCUCCUCUCCCUCUCCUUUCCCUACUCCCAGUGUGAUUAAACCUCCAUAAACUCCAUUCUGCCUUGAGUGUUUCAUUUUAGGAAUUUCAUAAGUAAAUUCCUUGGCGACCAUUGUUCAAUAUUAUAUUAUAUUAUAACCUCUCCUAGAAGCUAAAAUUUUCCCCAUUACAAUUGGCGUAACCACUUCGGGGAAAAAGAACUAUAUCAGUCUUCUGAUCUCCUUACUAAUCACCUGGGAGAGGUCCCACCCCGGCUACCCCCUCCGGCUCUUGGCCCUGCUUUAGUGCUUCGAAGGUUUCUAGAACCUCAAUAAAUUUCCUGAAUUUUCUUGCCCUUUCACCCCACUUAUUACUCACUCCGUCAGUCCUUUUACCAAAUACCUUGGCUUAAAGACACAGCUGCCAGAACAGGAAUUACAGCACAAACUGCGUGAGCUACAUGAAUCCAGAGCUGCAGUACAAGCCGGACCACUAGACUUCUCACUUCACAACCUGAACCCAGGAGACAACGUGUAUAUAAAGAACUUCCAGCGUACAGGAGCAACCCAGCCUUCCUGGGAAGGACCAUUCCAAAUAUUGUUAACUACUCCAACAUCUAUAAAGGUUGGAGAAAAGGACUCUUGGAUUCACUGUUCUCAUGUAAAGAGAGCAUCUUCUGUUGAGACUGAUUGACUGUAUCCUAUAUAUGCAUUGGAGAUAACUACCCAUUGACAAGUGGAAAUGUUUUAUUCUGCUUUUGACACAUUGAAUUCCUAAAUUUAAUUUUUUUUCCUUUUUUCUCUUUUCCUUAUUUUAUUAUUAUUAUUUUUUUACAUUAUUUUUAUUUUUUCCCUUUUCUCAUUUCUAUGUACUUAAGGUACAUAUGAUCAAUAUUAAUUUUAUUCUACAAUAUUAGUUUAAAUAUAUAUAUACUUGCUGUUAUUAUUAAUACGCACCCAAACAGCUUUAGACUAUGGGAACCUGCCAUUUAUUGAUAAUUGUUGUGGGACUAUGAUUAAUGUUUGUGUCUGCUUCUAGGAACGAGAUCAAAAAAGGAGCACAGAGAUAACCUGGAUAAUGCCAAAAGAGCUCACAGGUCUAAAAAUCAAAGACCAAUCCAGGUAGGAUUAAUGCAUUUCUAAGCCAAUACUAAGGACUUGAACCUAGUGUGAGACUCGGGGUUGCGACACUUGACAGACGUUAAGAUGUAGGCCUUCCUUGUAUCCACACUCUUCGUGAAAGUACCUACAGACAAGUACCUAAGGUUGGCUACCAUCCUGGUUCCAUCCAUCCCUGCGAACGAAGGUACAAUCAGACGAGGGAAUAACACUUCCCUAGAUAUAAAAUAAAAAAAUCUGGUCCUCUUUUUUCUCUCCUAUA